AAAUGUCUUUUUUUUUCUUUUCUUGGUUUUUAGAGUGCAACCUCAAAAAAAUAAUAUUUUCACCCUCUCACACCUUAACGCGUUCAGAGGAUGCUGAAGUAAAAAAGGCAGUGUACAAAGAUGUUUAAUUGCAGUUAAUACAAUAGUGCAUCACCCAAGGUUUUCUUACCCUCUAAUACCAUGAAGCACUUUGGAAAUGCUGAAGUAAAAAAAGUAUUACACAAGAGUGCAACACCAAAAAAGCGGUUAUUUUUACCUACUCACACUUUAACAGGUCCAGGGGAUGCUGAAGUUAGAAAGAGUGCAUCACCAAAGGAUUUAUUAUCAUUUAAUACCCUAAAACACUUAGAGAAAGAUGAAGUAAAAAAGAUAUUAUACAAGGAGGUUAUAUUUGA